rnacentral:lncRNA from 1 species
ACCGUGCUAUUGAAAGUAUAAAAAAUUUGAAUUGACGAUCGGCAUCCAUUUGUUUUCGAUGAUGGAGCUUUUAAAUUGACGAUCGGCACCAUGAUCUAUCCCAUUUGAAGUAUGUAGAAACCAAAUUUCAAAUCAUUUCAACAUCAUUGGCCUAAUGAUCAAAGAGUUUUAAAAUUUAUAAUUUUAAUGGUAGAUAUAAGACGUUUUCUCGUUUAACGGUGUAAAGUUAUCCAAAUCAAUUGAAUUUUGGUUAGAAAAUUCUUUAAACUAUUUAGAAUAAGAUCUAUACUUUCGAUCUUGAUUACAAAAUUCCUAUCAUCACUUUUUAGAGGAUAUUCAUUUUCAGCCGUUCAUUUUUACGCUCACUUGAUGGACAAGAGAACAAUAUCGAAAAAGCAUGAAAUUUGAUUUCUAGAUAUUUCAAGUGGUAUAGAUCAUAUUCAAAGGUUCCGAUCAUCGAUUUGGAGGCUCCAUCAUCGAAAACAAAUGGGUGGCAACGGAGCCCGUUUGCUAUCGAUAGCAUUCUAGCUCAACUAUAUAUAUAUAUAUAUAUAUAUAUAUAGAACUAGGCUACUAUACUAUUAAUAGCACGAAGUCAUUGGUGCUACCAAGUUUUUGGCCAUUGGAUUAAGAGAUGUGCGGUUAGGAUGAUAUGGGGCCCCUAGGGUUGAGUGGGUGGUUGGUUGAAUAGUAUGAUCUAACGGAUGAAAAUGAUCAAAAUGGUAGAUCUAACGGCGGAAAACUUGGUAGCACCAAGUGCUUCGUGCUAUUAAUAGCUUAGUAGCCGGACUCUCUCUCUCUCUCUCUCUCUCUAUAUAUAUAUAUAUAUAUAUGAUCCAAUAUUUGAGGACUUUUUACCGACCAUUCCUAACGCAAGCGGCAAAGGGCUUGGUUGGUACCCGAGGUCCUAAGUUCGAAUCCUAAUUGAUUCACAUUUUCAGUCAAGUUUAUUUAUAAAAGAAAUAAAUGAAGCGGAUAGUAUGCUACCUAUCUCUUAAAAACAAAAAAAAUUUGAGGUCUUUUU